UACGUAGGGGCUAGCGUUGUCCGGAAUCAUUGGGCGUAAAGAGCGUGUAGGCGGUCCGGUAAGUCCGCUGUGAAAGUCGGGGGCUCAACCUCGAAUGCCGGUGGAUACUGUCGGGCUAGAGUGCGGAAGAGGCGAGUGGAAUUCCUGGUGUAGCGGUGAAAUGACGCAGAUAUCAGGAGGAACACCUAUUGCGAAGGCAGCUCGCUGGGACGUAACUGACGCUGAGACGCGAAAGCGUGGGGAGCAAACAGG
rnacentral:rRNA from 1 species